rfam:SAR86 cluster bacterium SAR86A genomic scaffold Contig_1, whole genome shotgun sequence.
AACAUUCUGGUUCAUUUGCUAAUGUGCUUAUAAAUUUGAACCGAUACUAUUAAUUAGGUGAUAUUCCACUGUCUUUGUUGAGCAAUACCUAUAAGGGAAGCCUGAUCUGACAAGAUAUUCACCACCUGAACUUUCGGUUCAGGUAAGGCACAUAGCGGUGAUUUGGUUUGAUA